CACGUAGGGUGCGAGCGUUGUCCGGAAUUAUUGGGCGUAAAGAGCUCGUAGGCGGUGUGUCGCGUCGGCCGUGAAAACCUGCAGCUUAACUGUGGGCUUGCGGUCGAUACGGGCAUCACUGGAGUUCGGCAGGGGAGACUGGAAUUCCUGGUGUAGCGGUGAAAUGCGCAGAUAUCAGGAGGAACACCGGUGGCGAAGGCGGGACUCUGGGCCGAUACUGACGCUGAGGAGCGAAAAGCGUGGGGGAGCAAACAGG
rnacentral:rRNA from 1 species